UACAGAGGGUGCGAGCGUUGUCCGGAAUCACUGGGCGUAAAGGGCGCGUAGGUGGCGUCGCAAGUCGAUGGUGAAAGCUCGGCGCUCAACGCCGAGUCGGCCCUUGAUACUGCGAGGCUGGAGCACUGUAGAGGCUAAUGGAAUUCCGGGUGUAGCGGUGGAAUGCGUAGAGAUCCGGAAGAACACCGGUGGCGAAGGCGGUUAGCGUGG
rnacentral:rRNA from 1 species